rnacentral:rRNA from 2 species
UCGAACGAUGAAGCCUUUCGGGGUGGAUUAGUGGCGAACGGGUGAGUAACACGUGGGCAAUCUGCCCUUCACUCUGGGACAAGCCCUGGAAACGGGGUCUAAUACCGGAUAACACUUUCCCUCUCAUGGGGGAAGGUUAAAAGCUCCGGCGGUGAAGGAUGAGCCCGCGGCCUAUCAGCUAGUUGGUGGGGUAAUGGCCUACCAAGGCGACGACGGGUAGCCGGCCUGAGAGGGCGACCGGCCACACUGGGACUGAGACACGGCCCAGACUCCUACGGGAGGCAGCAGUGGGGAAUAUUGCACAAUGGGCGAAAGCCUGAUGCAGCGACGCCGCGUGAGGGAUGACGGCCUUCGGGUUGUAAACCUCUUUCAGCAGGGAAGAAGCGAAAGUGACGGUACCUGCAGAAGAAGCGCCGGCUAACUACGUGCCAGCAGCCGCGGUAAUACGUAGGGCGCAAGCGUUGUCCGGAAUUAUUGGGCGUAAAGAGCUCGUAGGCGGCUUGUUGCGUCGGUUGUGAAAGCCCGGGGCUUAACCCCGGGUCUGCAGUCGAUACGGGCAGGCUAGAGUGUGGUAGGGGAGAUCGGAAUUCCUGGUGUAGCGGUGAAAUGCGCAGAUAUCAGGAGGAACACCGGUGGCGAAGGCGGAUCUCUGGGCCAUUACUGACGCUGAGGAGCGAAAGCGUGGGGAGCGAACAGGAU